rnacentral:misc_RNA from 1 species
GAUGAAGAACGCAGCGAAAUGCGAUAAGUAAUGUGAAUUGCAGAAUUCAGUGAAUCAUCGAAUCUUUGAACGCACAUUGCGCCCCCUGGUAUUCCGGGGGGCAUGCCUGUCCGAGCGUCAUUACAACCCUCAAGCUCAGCUUGGUAUUGGGCCCCGCCGACCCGGCGGGCCCUAAAGUCAGUGGCGGUGCCGUCCGGCUCCGAGCGUAGUAAUUCUUCUCGCUCUGGAGGUCCGGUCGUGUGCUCGCCAGCAACCCCCAAUUUUUAUCAGGUUGACCUCGGAUCAGGUAGGGAUACCCGCUGAACUUAAGCAUAUCAAUAAGCGGAGGA